UACGUAGGGGGCAAGCGUUGUCCGGAAUCAUUGGGCGUAAAGCGCGUGUAGGCGGCUCGGUAAGUCUGCUGUGAAAGUCCAGGGCUCAACCCUGGGAUGCCGGUGUAUACUGUCGAGCUCGAGUCCGGAAGAGGCGAGUGGAAUUCCUGGUGUAGCGGUGAAAUGCGCAGAUAUCAGGAGGAACACCGAUGGCGAAGGCAGCUCGCUGGGACGUGACUGACGCUGAGACGCGAAAGCGUGGGGAGCAAACAGG
rnacentral:rRNA from 1 species